CCUGGCUCAGUUCAGGGCUGACUGGUGAAGAGGCAAGAGCUAAUACUGCUUCUCUCUACAGGAGGGGAGCUUAACUACAAGCAUGAGAGCUGGGACAGCAGUACUGCCCCCUGACCGAGAGAGACUGUUAAGGCCCCUGGGGAGCACCCAGCAGGCCAGAUCUUCAGCUGGUGAAUAAGCAUAGUUUCAUUGAAGUCAAAUAGCAGUAUGGACACUUGUUGGAUAUGGACCACUCGGACAGACUGUAUUCUUAUGUUCACCCUUUUUACAGGAGGCAUGUUCCAAGUCUGGGGAAACAUCUUCAGACCAGUUCCCCAGAGACAAAAGGUUAUCCAACACCUCAGCCAGAUGUCAAUAUAAUCAAGUGGACUAUCACUUGAUUAAGCAGCCAUUCUUUGGCAGGAAGAAGACAGUGAGCAAGAAAUUUACAUAUUGGCAAAGAAACAGCUAAGGGUUCCUGUUCCCCAGAUCUCCUGUCUCCUGAACCCCAGAUGGAGAUGAUCUUCAAAGGGAAAAGAGAACUAUAAAAAAUGAGACGAGAAGCCCCAAAACACUCCCCUCUUUAUCUCUGCUCACAGUGUCGAUGCCUGAAGAAACACUGAACAGAGGGUGGGGGAUGGGAGCUGACUUGAAGGAGUUCAGCCAAGAAAAGCCUGUGGUGAGAAAAACCUUUGCUUUGCAUUCAUUUAGCUUGUUAAAA